UACGUAGGGUGCAAGCGUUAAUCGGAAUUACUGGGCGUAAAGCGUGCGCAGGCGGCUAUGCAAGACAGAUGUGAAAUCCCCGGGCUCAACCUGGGAACUGCAUUUGUGACUGCAUGGCUAGAGUACGGUAGAGGGGGAUGGAAUUCCGCGUGUAGCAGUGAAAUGCGUAGAUAUGCGGAGGAACAUCGAUGGCGAAGGCAAUCCCCUGGACCUGUACUGACGCUCAUGCACGAAAGCGUGGGGAGCAAACAGG
rnacentral:rRNA from 1 species